UGUCGUAACAAGGUAGCCGUAGGAGAACCUGCGGCUGGAUCACCUCCUUUCUAAGGAAUAAUACGGAAGCCCUGCACUGAGACAAAACUUUGUUUAGUUUUGAGAGGUCUACUCUCAAGCCGUAACGCUUUUGGGCCUAUAGCUCAGCUGGUUAGAGCGCACGCCUGAUAAGCGUGAGGUCGAUGGUUCGAGUCCAUUUAGGCCCACUCAACAAAUCAAGCGGUUUGUUAUGGGGAAUUAGCUCAGAUGGGAGAGCACCUGCUUUGCAAGCAGGGGGUCAGCGGUUCGAUCCCGCUAUUCUCCAUUGACUCGUAAGAGUCAUAAGAAUUGGUUCUUUGAAAACUAGAUAAUAUCAAUUUUCUUUUAUUAAUUAAUAAUUUCAUUAAUUAAGCCGAGAACACCGCGUUAUUUUGAGUUUUUUUAUUAGUAGUUAAACUACUUCGCAUAUACUCAAUUAACUGAAAUCACGUUAGUGAUUUAGGUUAAGUUAACAAGGGCGCAUGGUGGAUGCCUUGGCAA
rnacentral:misc_RNA from 1 species